rnacentral:rRNA from 1 species
CUGCCUGCCCGGUGACAUUAGUUAAACGGCCGCGGUAUCCUGACCGUGCAAAGGAAGCAUAAUCAUUUGUUCUCUAAAUAAGGACUUGUAUGAAAGGCCACACGAGGGUUUAACUGUCUCUUACUUCCAAUCAGUGAAAUUGACCUUCCCGUGAAGAGGCGGGAAUAAAAUAAUAAGACGAGAAGACCCUAUGGAGCUUUAAUUAACCAGCUCAAAAGAAUUUAUUUACCAGACCGACAGGAACAACACUCUCCUUCCAUGAGCUGACAAUUUGGGUUGGGGCGACCUCGGAGCAUAAAAGAACCUCCGAGUGAUAUUAAUCUAGACAUACCAGUCAAAAUGCUCACUUACUUAUUGAUCCAAAGCUUCUUUGAUCAACGGAACAAGUUACCCUAGGGAUAACAGCGCAAUCCUAUUCAAGAGUCCAUAUCGACAAUAGGGUUUACGACCUCGAUGUUGGAUCAGGACAUCCUAAUGGUGCAGCAGCUAUUAAGGGUUCGUUUGUUCAACGAUUAAAGUCCUACGUGAUCUGAG